rnacentral:rRNA from 1 species
AAUCAACGCUGGCGGCGUGCCUAACACAUGCAAGUCGAACGCGAAAGGGGAGCAAUCCCUGAGUAGAGUGGCAAACGGGUGAGUAACACGUGGGUGACCUGCCUUCGAGUGGGGGAUAACGUCCCGAAAGGGACGCUAAUACCGCAUGACAUCCUGCCCUUGGAAGGGCGGAGAUCAAAGCCGGGGAUCGCAAGACCUGGCGCUUGAAGAGGGGCCCGCGCCUGAUUAGCUAGNGGUAGGGUAACGGCUUACCAAGGCCACGAUCAGUAUCCGGCCUGAGAGGGCGGACGGACACACUGGGACUGAGACACGGCCCAGACUCCUACGGGAGGCAGCAGUGGGGAAUUGUUCGCAAUGGGCGCAAGCCUGACGACGCAACGCCGCGUGGAGGACGAAGAUCUUCGGGU